GUUAACAGAAGUAUUAAGUUUCUUAUAUCAUUUUUAUCUGUUUUUGUUAUAAUACCAAAUAAAACCAAAUCAAUAUUUAAAGUUAGUUCUAUUUCUGUCUUCUCAAAUAUCCAGGAGUUAAGGUCUUCCCAUAGUUUAAAUAUAUAUGGACACGUCCAGAAUAUAUGUUCUAUUGUUUCAACCCCGCCGCACCCAAAACUACAAAUAUUUGUAUCUUUAAUUUUUAUUUUAAGGAGAAGUUUAUUCGUGCCUAAGAUUCGAUGUAUUAUUCUUUAUUGAAACC
rnacentral:lncRNA from 1 species